ACCAGACUCCUACGGGAGGCAGCAGUGGGGAAUAUUGGGCAAUGGGCGCAAGCCUGACCCAGCAACGCCGCGUGAAGGAAGAAGGCUUUCGGGUUGUAAACUUCUUUUAUUGAGGACGAAACAAAUGACGGUACUCAAUGAAUAAGCCACGGCUAACUACGUGCCAGCAGCCGCGGUAAUACGUAGGUGGCAAGCGUUAUCCGGAUUUAUUGGGUUUAAAGGGUGCGUAGGCGGCGCUUCAGGUCAGCGGUGAAAUACCGGGGCUCAACCCCGGGGCUGCCGUUGAAACCGGAGCGCUAGAAUUCCGAUGCCGUCGGAGGAAUGUGUGGUGUAGCGGUGAAAUGCAUAGAUAUCACACAGAACACCGAUUGCGAAGGCAUCUGACGAAGCGGAGAUUGACGCUGAUGCACGAAAGCGUGGGUAUCGAGCAGGAUUAGAUACCCGAGUAC
rnacentral:rRNA from 1 species